rnacentral:lncRNA from 1 species
CUAAAGUCCCCUAGUAGUCUGCAUCAGGAGCAAUUUCAACCAAACAAUCUGUGCCUAUCUGUGUGUAAUAUCCUGUACAGGCAUCUGGUCCUUUUUGUGAUUCUGAUUUAUUAUUUACAUUUCUGACGGAAUAGGUUCAACUUUCUGCUAAAUUAGAUACAGCUUAGAGCCUCUGGAAAGAUGUUUAUUGCAUUUGAAAUGUAAAAUCCCAUAAGGUGCCUCUUCCUUCUCUAAUAACCUUUUUUUUUCUUUUUUUUCCCAGAGAUAAGAUGAAGUAAAGGAGCUCACAUCGCCUUAGAGGGGAGCCAGCUGUAUCAGGUCACCCCACUUGGCACUGCUUUCACGGCGGCCAUCAAUUAGGUCAUGCAACGAUCGACAAACCAGGAAGUCACACAUCUGCGUAACUCUGUGGCGUUUCACAGAAGGUGAUUCACACUUAAUGUUCUUUGAUUGCUGCAAUUUAUUUAUUUAUUGCUCCCUGUGUCAUCGAUCAAAAUGGCAGAAUACGAACAGUACAAGAGAUGCAACUAAUCAUUCUUAAUGAGAAAAUGCUUCCAGUAAGAUUUAGUCAAUAUUGAUAUAGAGUGGUAUUUGACA